rnacentral:rRNA from 1 species
AUACGUAGGGGACAAGCGUUGUCCGGAAUCACUGGGCGUAAAGGGCGCGUAGGCGGUUUUAUAAGUCAGAUGUGAAAGGUACCGGCUCAACCGGUGACGUGCAUUUGAAACUGUAAGACUUGAGUACUGGAGAGGCAAGUGGAAUUCCUAGUGUAGCGGCGAAAUGCGUAGAUAUUAGGAGGAACACCGGUGGCGAAGGCGGCUUGCUGGACAGAUACUGACGCUGAGGUGCGAAAGCGUGGGGAGCGAACAGGAUUAGAUACCCUGGUAGUCCACGCCGUAAACGAUGAUGACUAGGUGUUGGGGAAACUCAGUGCCGCAGUUAACACAUUAAGUCAUCCGCCUGGGGAGUACGACCGCAAGGUUGAAACUCAAAGGAAUUGACGGGG